UUAAAGUGUUCUACCAUAUUGAAAGACAAAUGAGAAGCAAAGAGGAAAUCAGGAAAGAUAGGUGACAUUAUUUAUUGCUUCCAUGACAGCUUUUCUGAAAAUUUGUCAGUUUGAACCGAUCAGUGGGUUAGCAUUUUGCUUGAAUUAAUUUAUGGAUUUCUUGGUCAGUUUGGUGUUUGAGCUGUUAAUGGUGUUGUCUGGUGUGGAUCUUGCAGUCAUUUUCCAUCUGAGAGAUUCCCUGAAAUGGAACUCGUGCAAACUUGCAGUUGGACAUCAUACUUCUACGUCUUAUGGUUGUGUUGAUGUAGUGUUGCACUAAUGUGCAAGAGUCGAUGCAGUCUGAUGAAUAUCGAAAAUUAUUAUUUCGGCUGCAUUUUGUCGAUCUGUCGUCUCUUGCUACCUGUACGCACGCUGAGUUCAAUCGUUCGCCACCACUCUUCAGACUAGAUCCAUCGGUGAAACGGAGGAGAGGCUGCUGAGAUUCAAGACUGAUAAAUCAUUUAGAUUAAGACAAAUUACAAAAGCAUAUCUAUUCUCCCUGUUCCCUAAGUAAAUAGUGUGUCAGCUGUUAGUUACUCGUGUGAAAACUAGGAGUGUUCUUAUCGAAAGGAAAGUUGCAGAGUCUUUUUCGCAUAAAAUGGCGGUGACCAUUGGGGAAUUUUUUUUGUAUCUCGUGCAGAAACACUUCAGAGCUAGUAAAGUAAUUUUGUUGAUAAGUUUCCCUGCAAUAAUGCAACAGGUUUUAUUAGUUGAUGUUUAGGUCAGAGACAGAGAUCCCUUUGCUUAACUGUUGCAGAAAUUGAGAACAUAACAAAGUCUGAGCUUCAUGUAUGCCUUAUAUGGCUGCCGUAUCAUUAAUAUGGUUUUGUUGCAGUCAGUUGGUGAAAGGUGUGAUCGGGCGUCAAGUUGAGCUGCAGCUGUUGCAUGCAGUUUAUCAAGUUGGUGUUAUCUGAAUUCUGAAGUGUCACUGCAGGAAGACUUCUUGAAUUGGAGUUGUGGUUGGUAUGAUGUUAUGGUGUUGCUGUUUGGUGUAAAGUGGUUUUGCAGCCCCUUUCCAGUCGAGAGAUGCUCUGAAAUGUAGCUUGUGCAGACUUGCAGUUUAACAUCACACUUAAAUGUGUCAUUUGCCUAUGUUGGUGUUCAUACAGUAUAUGCUGUGUUGAAAAGUUGGGUUAAAUAGUCAAUGUUGCCUGAUGGCUGUCGGUCUUGUGUUAUCGGCUGCAUUUCGUCGAUAUGUCGUCUCUUGCUACCUGUACCGGCUUUGAGUGAUGUUUCGUUCAGUUAUUGACUAUUAAUUAAAUCUAUUCUUUUUUUCAGUUGAAUCGUUUGCUGCCGUUCCAUGGACUUGAUCCAUUGGUAACACUGACUGAGGAGAAUUUGCUGAAAUUCAAGACUCGUCAAUAAAUUAUGUAGAUGCUGUAGAUAAAUUACAAGUACAUAUCUGGGCUCCGUUCUUCAGUGGCCCAGUUUCCCUAAAUAACCACUAAGGCACUAACCAACGCCCGCCGAUGGCCACUCACUCGCUGCCACAACCAGGAGGAAGGGAGAUGUCUGGUCGAACGGGGACUUGCGAGGCGCAUGAUUCGAUGAAAUCUGUUGGAGGGUCAUGAGUCUAAGCCGGAAGCCUACUAAUAUGAUGAUGCAUUGCUUUCAUAAUAACUGCUUCUUCGCUCUUUUUCCGGUUUCUCUUAACCACAGCCGGGUAAUCCUCCCUGGUAGAGUCAGUCGGGCAGUGUCUCCCCCUGCUUGACUGGCUGCAGUUUUUACCGGACGGUUUGUUUAAUAAAUAAAACAAGUAUAAAAAACCA